AGUGAACGCUGGCGGUAGGCCUAACACAUGCAAGUCGAACGGCAGCACAGUAAGAGCUUGCUCUUACGGGUGGCGAGUGGCGGACGGGUGAGGAAUACAUCGGAAUCUACUUUUUCGUGGGGGAUAACGUAGGGAAACUUACGCUAAUACCGCAUACGACCUACGGGUGAAAGCAGGGGAUCUUCGGACCUUGCGCGAUUGAAUGAGCCGAUGUCGGAUUAGCUAGUUGGCGGGGUAAAGGCCCACCAAGGCGACGAUCCGUAGCUGGUCUGAGAGGAGGAUCAGCCACACUGGAACGGAGACACGGUCCAGACUCCUACGGGAGGCAGCAGUGGGGAAUAUUGGACAAUGGGCGCAAGCCUGAUCCAGCCAUACCGCGUGGGUGAAGAAGGCCUUCGGGUUGUAAAGCCCUUUUGUUGGGAAAGAAAAGCAGCAGGUUAAUACCCCGCUGUUCUGACGGUACCCAAAGAAUAAGCACCGGCUAACUUCGUG
rnacentral:rRNA from 1 species